GACGAACGCUGGCGGCGUGCUUAACACAUGCAAGUCGAACGGAAAGGCCCUGCUUUUGUGGGGUGCUCGAGUGGCGAACGGGUGAGUAACACGUGAGUAACCUGCCCUUGACUUUGGGAUAACUUCAGGAAACUGGGGCUAAUACCGGAUAGGAGCUCCUGCUGCAUGGUGGGGGUUGGAAAGUUUCGGCGGUUGGGGAUGGACUCGCGGCUUAUCAGCUUGUUGGUGGGGUAGUGGCUUACCAAGGCUUUGACGGGUAGCCGGCCUGAGAGGGUGACCGGCCACAUUGGGACUGAGAUACGGCCCAGACUCCUACGGGAGGCAGCAGUGGGGAAUAUUGCACAAUGGGCGGAAGCCUGAUGCAGCAACGCCGCGUGCAGGAUGACGGCCUUCGGGUUGUAAACCGCUUUCGCCUGUGACGAAGCGUGAGUGACGGUAAUGGGUAAAGAAGCACCGGCUAACUACGUGCCAGCAGCCGCGGUGAUACGUAGGGUGCGAGCGUUGUCCGGAUUUAUUGGGCGUAAAGGGCUCGUAGGUGGUUGAUCGCGUCGGAAGUGUAAUCUUGGGGCUUAACCCUGAGCGUGCUUUCGAUACGGGUUGACUUGAGGAAGGUAGGGGAGAAUGGAAUUCCUGGUGGAGCGGUGGAAUGCGCGGAUAUCAGGAGGAACACCAGUGGCGAAGGCGGUUCUCUGGGCCUUUCCUGACGCUGAGGAGCGAAAGCGUGGGGAGCGAACAGGCUUAGAUACCCUGGUAGUCCACGCUGUAAACGGUGGGUACUAGGUGUGGGGUCCAUUCCACGGGUUCCGUGCCGUAGCUAACGCUUUAAGUACCCCGCCUGGGGAGUACGGCCGCAAGGCUAAAACUCAAAGGAAUUGACGGGGCCUCGCACAAGCGGCGGAGCAUGCGGAUUAAUUCGAUGCAACGCGUAGAACCUUACCUGGGUUUGACAUGGAUCGGGAGCGCUCAGAGAUGGGUGUGCCUCUUUUGGGGUCGGUUCACAGGUGGUGCAUGGCUGUCGUCAGCUCGUGUCGUGAGAUGUUGGGUUAAGUCCCGCAACGAGCGCAACCCUUGUUCACUGUUGCCAGCACGUUAUGGUGGGGACUCAGUGGAGACCGCCGGGGUCAACUCGGAGGAAGGUGGGGAUGACGUCAAGUCAUCAUGCCCCUUAUGUCCAGGGCUUCACGCAUGCUACAAUGGCUGGUACAGAGAGUGGCGAGCCUGUGAGGGUGAGCGAAUCUCGGAAAGCCGGUCUCAGUUCGGAUUGGGGUCUGCAACUCGACCUCAUGAAGUCGGAGUCGCUAGUAAUCGCAGAUCAGCAACGCUGCGGUGAAUACGUUCCCGGG
rnacentral:rRNA from 1 species